AACGAACGCUGGCGGUAUGCUUAACACAUGCAAGUCGAACGAACAAAAUUGGGGCUUGCUCCAAUUUUAGUGAGUGGCAAACGGGUGAGUAACACGUGGGAAUCUACCUAUCAGUACGGAAUAACAUUUGGAAACAGAUGCUAAUACCGUAUAUUCUCCAAGGAGGAAAGAUUUAUCGCUGAUAGAUGAGCCCGCGUAAGAUUAGGUAGUUGGUAGGGUAAUGGCCUACCAAGCCGACGAUCUUUAGCUGGUCUGAGAGGAUGAUCAGCCACACUGGGACUGAGACACGGCCCAGACUCCUACGGGAGGCAGCAGUGGGGAAUAUUGGACAAUGGGCGAAAGCCUGAUCCAGCAAUACCGCGUGAAUGAUGAAGGCCUUAGGGUUGUAAAGUUCUUUUAGUUGGAAAGAUAAUGACGGUACCUGCAGAAGAAGCCCCGGCUAACU
rnacentral:rRNA from 1 species